UGAAAUUGAACUGUUCUGUUAGGAGAAAACUUCUUGGGCAAUCACAGCCACAAAGUCAAACAUAAAACUAGGGACUUUCCAAAAAAGGCAGUUGUGUUAGUGCAGCCAGACAGGUAGUGUCUUCAUUUCACUUUCGCAUUUACCCUGAUGUGAAAGGGUCCUCUGUCUCCACACUUCCUCUUGGCCAUUCCUCGCUGGAACACUCCGCUGUGUUGAACUUGGUAUUUCACAGUUCAUGAGUUGCUUCUUACUUAGGUGAACUUUUUAAAGAUUUGGUCUUAUUUUGAACUGAUAUCUUUAUCAAUUCAUAUUUUUGCAAGUGCACCAAAGGCCAGGCAUAUCUGCAGGCGCCUGACACACAGCCAACACCUCAGGAUGACUAUGGUAAGUGCCUCUUGAAUUUUAAGGGGAAAUCCACACUGAGUCCACUGCCCAUUGGAAGGGCUCGGUCCAGGUUACUGGUGUCAGAAAGACUGAGCACCAGCCUCAAUUUUGAAAGCUUGUGCACGCAUUCUAAUCGUACAAAACUGACAGACACCAUGGCACACGUCUGUAAUCCCAGCAGCUCGGGAGGCUGAGACAGGAGGGUCGUGGGUUUAAAGCCAGCCUCAGCAAAAGUGAGAUACUACGCAACUCAAUGAGACCUUGUCUCUAAAUAAAAUAUAAAAUAGGGCUGUGGCUAUUGUGGCUCAGUCGUCGAAUGCCCCUGAGUUCAAUCCCCAGUAUACCCCUAAAAAAAAAAAAAAAAAAACCUGCUCUUACAAAACUCAGUUUUCUGUGGGAGACAGUGAGUUCUUGGCAGAGUAUGUGUCUCCCUCUGUGUCCACAGGGCUUGGUUAUAGGUUUGGGCUGUCGGGUGGGGAGUAUGAGAGUGACCUGUGAAAGGACCUGGGUCCUUAUUCUAGAAGGUGUGUCUAUAUGUGGGCCCCUGAUGUCCCUGUUACUUCAGUCUCUCCACCUGCACAGCUCCCACGUCCUCUCCCAUCUACUGGAGCUCUCCUCCCCACCCCCAGCCUCUUCUCCACAUUGUCCUCCUGCCCCCUCACCGGAGCUUUCCCGCCAGCAUACAGGUACGCUGUGCUUCUCCAUCUCAAAAAGCCAGCAAACCACAGACUCUAUCCCCUCUGUCAUUUACCAUCCUUUUUUUCUAAAUCCUCUUUGAAGAAGAAAAGAAAUGUUCAAAAAGAACUGUCUACCCAGUUCUCUCCUCUCCUAUCUCAUCUUGAUCCUGAUUGUUGGGCAGAGGGUGAGACUCAGGCCAGGAAGCAGGUUUGGGGCUCUGGCAGUUGAAUGAGGAUCCAAGGCAUGGUGGCAAUGGUGGUCAUCAUUUAUUUGUAGGCAGCCCCCAUCCAGCUCCCUGACCAUUUCCAUAGACCCUUUAUAUAUUAUAUACAGUCCAGAGAACAUGCACUGCCGACAGGUUCCAUUAGGGGGCGCCUGCUCACAAGUAAAUGUUUAUGACCUUGACUGCGCACUGACCUUAACAGCCCAUUCCUGACCUUGGCUACAUACUGAAAGCAAAACAUAGCCCCUGGAAGCCCUGGCCAGGGAGCCUCACACUAGCCUUUGGGGACCAAAUCAGACUUCAUCACUUCUUCCCCAACACCUGCUCUGCUCCAGGUCCCAGUCACCCCUUCUCUUGAGGACCUCAUGUGGCUUCCCCACCCACCCUGGCCCCUGCUCUCUGCUCCAUCUUUUCUGGCCCUCCUCUCCAGUCCCUGGGCUCCACUGGGUCCUCUCCUUUUUUCUCUCUACUCACUACCUCGUCCCUCCCAUCCAGUGUGGGGACUUGAAUAAUCUUCCUGUGACAAUGACACCCCAAUGCACGGCUUCAGCUGAAUCCUCCCCACACUCCAAUCUGACUCAACUCCUCUGCCCAGAAUCCCCCUGUGCACAUCUGAUCUCCAGGGUUCACUUCCCAAACCUUCUCUACUUAGUUUCCCUCAAACCAAUCAAAGGCAAUGCCAUGCCGUGGGUUGCUGGGGGCAAGGCAUGCAAUCUUGACACCUCCCUCCCUCCCUAUGUUUCUCUCUCUCUCUCUCUCUCUCUCUCUCUCUCUCACACACACACACACACACACACACACACACACACAAACUCAGGGAAUCUUGUUGGUGCAUCUAUCAAAAUCUAUCAAAAUGCACCCAGAAUCCAGCCGUUUCCCCACACACACACUUUCUUUUUUUUUAUUAGUUGUUCAAAACAUUACAAAGCUCUUGACAUAUCAUAUUUCAUACAUUUGAUUCAAGUGGGUUAUGAACUCCCAUUUUCCCCCGUAUACAGAUUGCAGAAUCACAUCAGUUACACAUCCACGUCAUGGUCAUGCUGGCCAAUGCUCUGACAAGUCUCAUGUCACUCACUGAAACAGUCUUGCCUGCUCCUCCCUCUGUCCUGGCCUCCUCUCAGCACCCACCAGGAACACUUGGACACACAAGAUCAUGACAGCUCUCCGCUCAGAACCUUCCACUGUGCUAAUUUCCUCAGAAAACACAGCCAACCUCCUCACCAAAUCUGAAGACUCUGGCCACCCAGAGCCCUCCAGCCCUGGACACCACUGCCAUCCUCUGGCUUGAUCCACUUAUGCAGCUUUCACCCCCUGAGGUUUCUCAACAUACGGGGCAUCUUUCCAUCUCCAGGCCUGGAAUGUUCCCUGUGACCGGCAGGCUCUUCCCCCAGGUCCACCACGUCUGCCUCCCGCCCUCCUCCACGUCAUUCCUGAGUACUUGCCUUCUCAGCAAGGACACCUGAAAACUCUGACAACUGUGCCUAAAAUCCCCAGCAUCUACCAAGCACCCUGCUUUCCUCUGUUUUUUGUUUGUUUGUUUGUUGUGGUGUUUUUUUUUUUCUUACUCAGCUUUAAGUGUCUUCUCACACCCAACCCCGUGGACUUACAUCCUGCUCACCUCCUGCCUCCUCUCACUAGGACUGACUUCCUCAGGGCAGAGGUGUCUUCUGUUUCCUGCGCCGGCCUAGCUCAGAUUCCUAGGGCCAGGCCUGGCACAGGUUUGCUGCCUCCUACUCCACCUCAUCAAAUGGUUGAAUGCUCCUGCCAACUCCAGUGUGUCCCUAGUACAGGGAGGACAUUAGCUACAAUUCAUAUUCAACCAGAAGGUCGCCUGGGGACAGUCUCCCUCCAAUAUUCCUCAGAAACUCCUCCACAGAGAACAAACCAAGUCCCUGUCAUUUCUCAGGAAUGACAGCCUGGAGCUCCUCCCAUUCCAGAAACAGUCCAUGGCUCCCAGGUCAAAGUCUAAACACCCACCAGGGGCCUGGCUCUGUCCCACUGAGACCCACAGCCUCCUCCUUUACACUCUCCCGCUCACCCUGACUUCAGUGACUCCCAUUUCCAGAGAGAGCGGGGCACGGGGACUACUGGGACUUCCCGCUGGGAAGGGACCCACCAGGGUUGCCCCGCUGCCCAGGGGGAGAAAUGCUGCAGCCAGCGCUAGUUGAGGAGAAGAAAGCGGGGGAGGCUGGGGACAGGCAAAGUCCCUGCAUGGGUCAGUGUCACGAGGCACAGAGCAGGAAGUUUGGAAUCAGAAAAUGUGGCUUCUAACGCCACUUCUGCCCAUGCCUGAUCUUAGAAAGAGAGCACUCCCCAGCCCCACCUUUCACCAGGUCGUCCCCUCUGAGCACAGGGUGCACUGCAGGACAGCUUUGCCCAGGGACACCCAAGGAUGGGGGCUCUGGGACUGUGGGUCAGGCAUGGAUCAUUUCCCAUCAAAUAAGAAAGCUCAAAGGGCGUGAGGGACCCCAUUCCCAAGGAAGCCUUUACGAAUAGAAGAAUUUCGUUUAAAAACUAUUUGUAAAACACCUGCAUCAUUGACAAGGGUCCUUCCUUCUGCUGUGAACCUUCUUGCUUGAUUUAGCCGCCUUCGCCUGCCUUUCCCAGCGCCCUGAGGUUUCUUUCCCUCCCUCUCCUUUAUCCCCCUUUCUGUCAACUCUGAGUUACAAUGAUCCACAUCUGUGCCUGUCUCCCUCAUAGACUGGCCUCCUGGGUGCUCUUCCUGCCCAUCUGUACCCCACAGAUGCCUCUAUUGCUCCAGCUCUGCCUGCUGGACACUCCUGAGCUCCUGGCUGUUGGCAAUGCCAUUGGGUGUAAUUGCCAUCGGGGACGCUGGACUGGCACCUGCCCUGGGCCACACAGUGCUUCUCUCCUACUUAUUACCUCAUAUAAGGGGAACCCAAAUGACAAUUGGGACCAUUCCUUGGCCUCUCGGAGGAAAAUGGAUUCCAAUCAAACUCUCUUCCCAGGGCUGUGGGGGACCCCGAGCUCCUGGGCUCCCGGGAAGCAAAGGCAGAGGGCUUCUAUUUCCCUGGCUCCUCCUGAUGCUGCUCAGUGACUUCAGAUGGGGAUCACUUCACUGGCUCUUUUCCAAAGGCAGAGUGGUGGCCCUAAUCCCUUCCCCAACAAAAUGCCACUGUCACCCACCUAGAGGGCUGUCUCAGAAGCCCACUUUCCCUGAAGGUUCAGAGUGAGGGGAGGUUGCCAUCAGAGGCAGAAUCUGCCCAGUCCUGAACACCAGCCGCCCCUGCUCUGGGCCCUCAGUCCCCCCAGCAGCCUGUUUCUGCAGCUCCGCCCCCCCACGCUGCUGGGUGCCACCUCUGCUCUCGCCAUCUCAAUGUCCUCGCUGUCACUGGUCCAAACCCUCAGGGCCCUGUUCACUGCCCACACAGGACAGUCUAGCUGGUCACUGUCUUGCUCCCGGAGACCUCCCCCGUCACCUGAAGCCACCGUCCAGGUGUUGGCCCAGCAGCCACAAUCCAUUCCUUGCAGUAGCCCCAGCCUUGAGGGGUCAAAGAGCAACUCUUUCACCCCCUUGGCCUCACAAAGCCCCGGAGACAUUCUCCCCUGAGCCUGGGAGGGGACCGGGAUUUCACAGGAGCCAGGGGUGGUCCAUCAUGAGACCCGACUCCAGCUGAGACGUGUGGGUCCCAGAGUUGGCCUCACGGCCUCUCCUCCCGUCUGCUUCCAGCUCUCUGGGAUGAUCAUUUGUGGAGGGAUGCUCGCCAUCUGUGCUGUUAUCACAGUCUUUGCGACCAUAAAUGCUUCCAUUCAGGUGAGUUGUGGCCCUCCUGAGUGGGUGGAGAGACCCCAGCUAGGUGAACUCUAGAGGGCCUUCAGUGCCUCACUCCCUGCCCAGGGGCUGGAGGGCUCUGGUGGCCCAAGGGCCGAGCACCUGCCUGUCUCCUUUCAUCUCAUUGUGUUUUUCAGGUGAAGGUGGAUGUCAACAAUUACUUUGGAGGAGGCAGGUCCUACUCCAAGCCCCCUAGUCGCAAGAAGUGAGAUCCAGCAUGCAGAUCAAAGGACCACCCCCCUUCUCUGCUUUCAUAAUCUGAUUCCUUCCUUUCCAGACAAGCUGAGGGCUUGUCUGCUCACACCCUGCACUGCACCCUUCAAUUCAGCCUGCUGCAUCCUGCUCUUCUUCUGAGAGGCAGAGGGGUUUUCCGUGUAUUUUAGCCCCAGGCUCCUCCCUGAGGCGCGUGCUCCUGUGUGCUUGUGUGUGGACAUCCUCUCACAGGCUUCUCGCAAACCACCACCUGCACUCCUCUGCCUUGGGUUUAUAGGUGAGGAGGAAAAUAUCCAGGCACCCAUCUUCUUCUUUCAAUCAUCCAUUCAUUAAUAAAUUUGGAUUGAGCAUCUGUCCGUUUGAAUGUUGUUCUGGCAUCAGUGGUAACAGCAUAGGGAGAACUGAUUUCAGACUAUUCAAGGUCGAUUCAUGGCAGGAAGUGGGUAAACAUCAUGACCAACAUGGUCCUUGACCUCAAGGGACCUCUGG
rnacentral:lncRNA from 1 species